rnacentral:rRNA from 1 species
AUUGAACGCUGGCGGCAGGCCUAACACAUGCAAGUCGAGCGAGCGGCGGACGGGUGAGUAAUGUCGGGGAAACUGCCUGAUGGAGGGGGAUAACUACUGGAAACGGUAGCUAAUACCGCAUACCAUCAGAUGUGCCCAGAGGGGAUUAGCUAGUAGGUGGGGUAAUGGCUCACCUAGGCGACGAUCCCUAGCUGGUCUGAGAGGAUGACCAGCCACACUGGAACUGAGACACGGUCCAGACUCCUACGGGAGGCAGCAGUGGGGAAUAUUGCACAAUGGGCGAAAGCCUGAUGCAGCCAUGCCGCGUGUAUGAAGAAGGCCUUCGGGUUGUAAAGUACUUUCAGCGGGGAGGCGUUACCAACAGAAGAAGCACCGGCUAACUCCGUGCCAGCCGCCGCGGUAAUAC